rnacentral:rRNA from 1 species
AAGGGGCUUCGGCCCUGAGUAGAGUGGCGAACGGGUGAGUAACGCGUGGGUGACCUACCCUCGAGUGGGGGAUAACGUUCCGAAAGGGACGCUAAUACCGCAUGACAUUCCGGGUUCGAAGACCUGGAAAUCAAAGCCGGGGACCGCAAGGCCUGGCGCUCGAGGAGGGGCCCGCGUCUGAUUAGCUAGUUGGCGGGGUAACGGCCCACCAAGGCGACGAUCAGUAGCCGGCCUGAGAGGGCGGACGGCCACACUGGGACUGAGGCACGGCCCAGACUCCUACGGGAGGCAGCAGUGGGGAAUUGUUCGCAAUGGGCGCAAGCCUGACGACGCAACGCCGCGUGGAGGAUGAAGGUCUUCGGA